rnacentral:tRNA from 1 species
GGUAGCUCAGUUGUAGAGCACUUGCCUUGCAAGCAUGAGGCUUUGGGUUCGAUUCCUCAGCACCA